UUUGUACUCCCUCCGUUCCAAAAUACUUGACUUCCAUUUGUCCAAAAAUGGAUGUACCUAUAUACUAAAACAUGUCUAGAUACAUAUAUAUUUUGACAAAUAGAAGGCAUGUAUUGUGCAAUGGAGGGAGUAGAAU
rnacentral:pre_miRNA from 1 species